UAUAUAUAUAUAUAUAUAUAUAUAUAUAUAUAUAUAUAAAGGUGAGUUUUGAGGGAUUUCUUUGAACUUAAUACCCAAAAGAAUGAAAGUAAAAGGUGUUAAAACUGGUAUAAAAUGACAAAAUUUAAAAAAAAAAUAAUUAGGAUCUUGUUGAAUAUAUUAAAAACUCAUGCAAACAUUCGUGCAAAUAUAAGAUAGACUGAGUGUAUCUCUUAUCUCAUGGACACAAAAAAAGCCAAACCUAUAUGAACAUAUUAUGAUAUGAAACGUAUUCCAGAGUGUUUGUUUUUGGUUUAGCUCAGAGUUUGGUUCAUUUGAUCCAUCAGAUAAAUGCUAAUGGAGGCUCAGUUACCUGAAGUUUAAUGAAGCAGGAUCAGCAAAACCAAAACUCUUGAGCGAGUUUCUGACUAGAGAGGAACUGAUUUAGGUGCAGAGAUGUCUGAGCUUGUUAAAUUUAGAGCGAUGUAUACAGAAGGGACCCGAGUUCAUGUUUAGAUGUAUGAAUAUCCACUUUAUUAGCUCCACCCUGCUAAAGCUAACGUGUUCUAACGCAACCAUCUGGCAAUAAAUGGUCCGUCAUGAAAGUUCCAGUCAGAGCCAUCAGCUGGUUUUUAGAGGAUUAAUUAUACACUGAUUGCAUCGAUCGUUUGUGGUUCUGUUGAACACACUGACGGGUGUUUCUGUUAUUUCAUCCAUCAACUUCAUAUCAAUGAGGCAAGCUUAAAUACCAGAAACACCAGUCAGUGUAACUAAAUUCUCUAUAAAACAGCUGAAACCUUCAUACAGGAGGAUUUAUUGGAGGACUGUUGUGUUAAACAUGCAGGUUUUUGCUGGUUGGAGUGAAUAAAUGUUGUGUUUUUGUUAUUUUAGGAGUCAGAUUAUUGGGUUGAUUUUCAUCUAGUGGUGACCAGGUGUAAAUCAGAAGCUCUUUAGAGGAAUGAGUUGGUAAAUUACAAGUAAAUUCAAAAAGACUAAGACUCCUGAAGAUCUCGUUUAAAACAGCAGACCUAAACAUGAAGCCAGUGUGUUAAUUAAUGUUGUUUUUGGUGUUUUAAAGUGGGGUUUUUUUGCUGUUUCUGAAUGAGUUUACAACCCGCAAUAGAAAAAUAAAGCCAGAAAUCAGCUUUUGCUAUGUGGAUGAACCUUUGAAAACACACCGAAGAACCCAUUGGUUCUAGUAGAUGAUCCAGAACCAAUGAUUCUGGUGGAGGAACCUUUGAAAACUCAGCUCGCUGGGUUUUCAAAGGUUCCUCCACCAGAAAGCUCUCACCGCUUUAUUUUCCAUUGAAAGGUUCAGCUCUGGAAUCAUCUCUAAUCGUAUAAUUGCAAGUGUUUGCUUUGAAACCCAGCAAGGAGGUUGGAUAUUUCCAGUUCACAUAAUCCGGAGGAGAGCCAGUAAAUAAGAGCGUGUUCGAGGUGUUGAUUGAUUGAGUCGGCUGGUCAUGCAGCGAUACAGGAGAUUAAUCCAGUGAAAGUCAUCCAUCAACAAAAUACAGACACAAUGAGGAUGUAAACACGAAUGUUUCAUCGGAUGUUCACUUUCUAACCUUUAAUACAUAAAAGCUGCAGUCCAUGACUUAAACACCACUACACCAAGUAACACUCAGUUUCUCAGCCCUGGUGUCCUUCUAUAAUCUUUGCUGGCUUCCUUCCAGCUGUUUUCGCUUCGUCUUUAUCCUCCCCGCCUUUAUUUCCCAUCAUGCUUGGCGCUGUUUGUUUAAAUCCUCAGUAGAGAUGUGUGAGAGCUGACAGAGGAGGGAAAAGUUGAAGGCGGCAAGAUGCAGCACGCAGGAACGAGCUGGAGAGGUGAAGGUGGAAAAGCAAAGAAGGAGAAAAAGGGCGGGAAGGUGGUGACAUUCUUUGAGUUUUGGAGGGAAAGCUUGCUUCGGGGCGGAGCUGCUCGGAUGUUUUAGUUUUUGUUUUUUGUUUUUGUUUUUUUAAUUUUAGCCACAAUUGGAUUGGAUUAAAUUAAAGCUUCUUCAGUUCAUCAGAGCACCUAACUUUCAUCUGGGAAAAAAAAGCAAGCAAACGGCUUUUUGUCUUAUUUGAAGUUGAGCUUUUUCAGCCGGAUCACGCUUUUUGUUUCUCGAGUAUUUCAUCGUCCGAUCUCACAUGAUUCCUUCCUGUGCUUCGUGUGAUUCCUGUGUGAUCUCAGACUUCAUCAUGUACUGAUCUCCAGUGGGAAAAGUAUUUAUUUUAUUUUUAAAAAAGGAAAGAACACCUGAGUAACUGGAGCUGAAGAUCAUAGCUGGUCUGCAAGUCACACAUUCAAAAGCUCAGUGACUUUUUUUUUUGCUGUUUUGUGCGUUUUCUUCCACAAAACGCCCCCAAAAAAGUCUUUCAAACAUGUUAAAGUCUCCGGUUUGGGAUAACACACAGCACAGAAUGUAUUAAAACCAACAUGUAGGUAUGAUGUGUUCGAGAACAACGCGAGCAGCCUGUAAAUAGUACCGUUCUAUGCUGUAAACAAUUUGUGACAUUUUGUUUGUUUGUUUGGAUUAUAUAAGGGGUUUUAUUUCUCGUUAUGAUUAUUGUUUUCACAGAUGUUUUGUUUUAUGUUUACAGAAACUGUCUCGCCUUAAUUCAAUUCCUGUACAAAACCAAAAAAAAAAAAAAAAAAAAAAAAAAAAAGAUGAAUGUCCCCUCGCUGAAAUCAUUCUCACAGCAAAGUAAAAGCCAUAUAAGUUGUGGAAGUAUUUUCCUAAAAGUCCUGUUUGUUGUGUUUUUAUUUAAGUUCUUACCCUCAGGCCUCUGUUUGAAUGGUUCAAACUCAGGAAACGACCAAUCAGAGGCUGCGUUUGUUCAAACCGUCCAAUCAGAGACGUGGCUUUGGCAGGUGUGUCUGGAUGUGAUCUACAGCUUAAAGCUUUAGGAGGAGGGUUCAGUCUGUCCUCACCUGCCACACCUGAGAGAACACACACACACACACACACACACACACACACACACACACACACACACACACACACACACACACACACACACACACACACACACACACACACACACACACAGUCCUCCUGUUUCUCUUUGAGCUCAGGGUUUGAACUACAGGAGUUUUUUAUUCCUCAGAGCCCCAAAGCCUGCUGUCAGGUUUCAUGUUUUCUUUUUUCCUUUUUUUUUUCUUAAAAACUAAAUUGAUGCAAUUUAGAAACAAGAAACUGUAAAAAUUUGAAAAUAAAAUUAAAAUCAUUGGCGUUUCAACUUUCCAAUAGUCAAUAAAAUAAAAAAAAUCCAUGAGUGACCAGUGGUUGCCAAAAAUUCUAGAACGUUUUCAGGUGAACUGCAGGCUGUGUGGAGAAAAAGCAGAAUUUAUAAAACUGCAAAUAUUCCUAGACAAGUUCUCUGAAUUCCAAAAUCCACAUUCAGGUUUUAUUUUUUUAAUUACAACCAAAAUCACACCAUUUACCAACUCAAAUCUGUAACAACAGAAAAGAUCUGUACAAGUUUAUCUUUCCGACGGUCCUUGAACGUAUCAUCAGAUUCACUGGGAAAAAUCUGCUUAAAAUUGCAAUAUUUCAUCAAGAAUGUCUUUAUUCUACAUGUUGCAUUUUAAAAAUUAUUGAAAAACAAACCAUUUGCACCAGAUUGUGUAAAAAUAAAUAAAAUAGAAUAAAAUUCUACAUGGCUCAGCUCUACUGAGAAUCAGUUCCUGACCUAGUUGUGACAAAAACACUGAGAGAGUCUGUAAAGGUUGUAAAAAUGUAAAUACACCUAAAACCCACAGUCAGCAGGUUUUCUUUUUUGGAAAAAAAACAGCCAAAUAAUACAAUUUUAUCAGCCAAAAAUUGCAAAAAAUCUCUGCAUUUUCAAUUUUCCAAUGGUCCUUGAACAUAUCAUCUGUAACAUGCAGCUUCAUCAGGAAAAAAUCUGCUUCAAAUCACAGUAUUUCUUCAGAAUCUCUUUAUUCCGUGUAUCUCUUUUUUUUUUAAAUCUCCAAAAAUAAACCAUUUUAAACCAUUGUAUAGUAUGUAUUGCAUGUUUAACUUGGCAGUCACACGAGAAAAACAUUCAGACUUCUCGGCUGAACUGCAGGCAGUGUUCACACAAAAUAGAGAGGAAAAAACUAAACUAUACUGGAUCAACAGUAAUAAAUGCAUCAUGGCUAAAAACCAGAGGAGCAGGCUGUUGGGGUUUGCAUUCAGCGGUGAAACAUCUUUCUAAUGUGCAGCCUAGCUGGAAAAAACAGGUUUGUGGAGGUUGUA
ensembl:lncRNA